GCGUUCAAUCAGACCCAUGUUUUUUCAAGUCUCUCCUUCAAAAACGAGGAAAUGACUACAGACAUUAGUCUAGGAGUUGUGUGAGAACACGAGUGACCGCUACAACGUUUUCACGCAGAGAAUAUCCGCGAAAAAUAUUCUUCCAGAUGAAUAAAGGAAUGCCACAUGUCCUUAUUUUCAUGUAGUACGGUCAUUUUUUGGCAGACGCCAUAAAUUCCUCCAAUAUCAAGUCAGUCAAAAAGUGAAUCUGACGUAGUCCACCUUGCAAGGUCUUGCCCAAAUAGGAUGACACAGCUGGCUGGGAGUUCAAAUAAUUCGGCGCUUGAGAGGCCGAAAAAAUAAUGGCUAGUAAAGGAAAGUUGUGCUUCAUUGUCUCGUCGAUCUUCAUCCUGCGUUUUGCUCAAGCAGAAAUAUGCUACUCGAACUUCACCACCAAGAUAAAUGGUGCCUUGUAUCCGCUUGAUCCAUACGGUUUGAGUGGCCGCUACGCUGGUUUAUGGUCAAAUUAUAGCAACAUAGAUAUCAGCCAGGGCAUGAGUUACCAGGUGUGGAUGCUGAGUUAUAACGCUGAAACGCCAAAAUCGUUUUUCCUGGCACUCAUUGCCAUCCGCAAUCCAAGUGAGUAUUGGGAUCUCACAAGACCGGUCAUCCUGUGGAAGGCCCGACAGACGAGGCUUGUAGGUGAGAAUGCCACUUUACAAUUUACCGCAGAUGGAGAGCUUAAAAUCGAAGAAGACGAUGAUGUCGUAUGGUCCACGAAAACUGCAAACAGAGGCGUCCGGUGGCUCUGUAUUUCCAAUCGCGCAACCAUAAUGCUCCUGGAUGAAAGCGGAAGCAAUGUCAUCUGGCAAAGCAGCGACGAACCUUCUGAUACUGUGCUGUUGCAACGAGCACUUACGCCGGGACAAAAGCUCGUAAGUUGGAAUACUUCAGAAGACAGCAGCGAUGGCCUCUAUAGUCUCGUCAUAGAGAAAAACAGGCUGCAACUGUUGUACGCCUCGCAACCGUACUGGAGCUUCGGUAAUAUUACCAGCGAGGAAGAUAUGUUUGCGGUGUUCUGCAGGCAAAACGAUGGUAUCGUGUCUCUGGAUCUGCGAGCCAACUUCUCACAGAUUGAAACGAAUCGUGAUGACUUGGGGUUGGUGUUUUCAUUGUCAUGUUCCAGUCGAGGUUUAAGAGAUCAAGUGAUGGAGUUGCCAAUAGAUGGG
rnacentral:lncRNA from 1 species